CCACAACCCCACAGGCUUCUCUUGUUGCUGUGACAAUGGAACUGGGAAGGAGGUGGGACUAUGGGGAAGGUUUCCCUUAGGAACAUCCUAGGUGGGCCUGACCAACUUGGUUCCCUGGCAUGCUAAGCCCUUCCUGAGUUCCAGAACUCUCCAUUCUGCUUUGUUCUCUGCUCAUCCAUCACUUUACCCUUUAUCUGAAAGUCUUCUGUCUUCUCUCUGCUUACCUGACUGGAACCCUUCUAGUGCCUGGCACAGAGCCUAACACUCAGCAAAUGAUUGUUGAAGAUGGAAUUAAUGAUGGAAGCAUUAAAAGCCUGGCAGACAGAGUGAGAUGGGGGGUGCCGAGGAAGGCACUUCUCUGGGUCUCAGUUACCAUCUCUGUAUAAAAAGGCAGAGCAAAUCUGAUGAAACUCAGCCUGGACAUAAUGUUGGCCAGCAGCCGGGAAAGACAGACCCACUGAUUUCCCCCACGGGUACAGCUGGGAUUGAUGGAAGUGACCAAGUAAAUAAGCAUCUUCAUGAGGCGUCCCAGGGCACUUUCCCUAAACCCCAAAGGAACAGAAUUCCCACCUGUGUCUGUGCCAUGCCUGGGACCUGAACUCUGGGUGAGCAGUCCUCUUUGCAUUAUGAUGCUGGUGCAGCAGCAGACAGUCUUGGCUCCCACCCUCCUUUCCUCCCCAACCCACCCUGAUGUUCAGCUUCAGAAAGACAAAUGAGCAAAUCUCCCUCUCGAAUUGCUGUCCAACGGAGACAAGCAAGAUGCCCUCCCAGGAACCAGUAUUGUGAUCACAGCAUAUGCAGUUUUCCUCUGGCUGGUGACCCAGCAGAGCUGGGGUGGAGGAGUCCCUCAUGCUCCACUCUGGAGCAUAGACCUUGCUCUCAGCUGUUCAUUUCCUCCUCCUGGACUGUCCAGCCCAGGGCUGAUAAUCAGGUGCAACCUCCUUGGCAUUUAGCUCUGAAAUUCUGCUUUAACCUUCACCUGCACAAGCAGUUUAUAAUAACAAGAGCAACCACUUACUGAGGGCCUUUUGGACCCUUUCUGUAUACAAUGCCUAUUGGAUGCUUUCUCUAAAUAGUCGAAAGAGCGGGGUUGUGGGAUAUAAUCAUAAAGCUACUUUUGUUGUCCCCCUCCCCUGUUGUUGUAUAAUUCCAGGACUGGUCCUCUCUGCCUCUGAAUGAAUGUCAGCCAGGCCCCUGUGCUAUGAAUUUGUUAUUUGUAGGUAAUAAAAAUGUCAUCGGCAUCUGUGGUUCUGUUCAGUGAUGAAUGUGUCCAGUCCAGUGUAGGGUCACACCUCUGACUUCAUUUGCUCAGACUUGCUGCAGAAGCUGCGGUGGGAAAUGGGUACCGUCAGCUUCGUGUGUUUUCUCUAAGAGAGUGGUAAAUUUGCCCUCCAAUCUCUUCCCCAGCCAGGCUGCCCUUGCCCCUUUAAGGUUGGUGAGGGCACACUGGGAAGAGAUAAGGGGUAGAAAAAGGUCUCGAUUAACUGGGAUGGUUGCUGUGAGCUGGGUCCUACAGGAUGCCAUUCUCUGGUGUGAACUUUGGAACUCUGUCUCCAUUGGCUUCGAAACACAAGAUCUUUGUAGGGACUAGAAAAAAAGAUAUCAGACAGCCUCAAGUAUGCCCUGCUUGGCAAAUGGAUGCUGUCUUGUGCAAGUCAGAAAAAGCCUUUCCCUUUUUCUAGGUUUCUGCAAGCCUGCAUGGGUAUGCACAUCCUAAGAGCAGCGCAUGGCUGGAUGUCUGCAACACUCUUGAGCUAGAGCUUUUGUUCAUGCACUAAGGACACGUCCAUCUUCAGGGACCCUGUAUGCACGUCUCUCACCUGUAGUUCACCAGCCCUAGAGCUGCACGAGCUCCACGUUCCAACUCUCCAGUCAUGCAUGACAUUCCAUCUGGCCUUGGCCCUUCAUGGCCCACCUUCACAGAUGCCCAUCAUGCCCAAAAAGAAUAGGCAAAGCAUCUUUCAAAUAUCCCCAGGUCAGCUUGCUUAUACAUGCUCGUUCUCUCUUUCCUGCCCGCCACAGAAAACAGUGGCCUUUGGUGGAAAUGUAGCUGCUUACCAACUUGCAGCCCUCUUCAGCCAUCCCGGGGCCCCUUAGAUUUCUCAGGUAUGAGUCAGACUCUAAUCUGCAGGGUUCCCCAAUCUUUAGGGGACAGAAAUCAAGCUCCCCAAGGGCUCUCUUCAAAGCCUAUUUAAGUAGGCUUCAGGAGGGAGGAGCGCACCCCUUCUUUCCUCUGACAGAUGACAGCCGGCCUUUCUGCAUUGAUAUGGUGAAUCUUGAUGGGGCACUGGCCACUUCUACUGCGGGUAUUAAAAUGGGACACACUGUCUCCCUUUGGACUGAGUCCUCUAAGACAGCUAUCUCCAAACUUAUUGGCACCAGGGACUGGUUUUGUGGAAGACCAGGUCAAGAGGAUGGUUCCAGCAUGAUUCAAGCACAUUACAUUUAUUGUGCACUCUAUUUUUAUUAUUACAUUUUAAUGUAUAAUGAAAUAAUUAUAAACUCACCAUAAUGAAGAGUCUGUAGGAGCUCUGAGUUUGUUUUCCUUCAACUAGAUGGUCUGAUCUGGGGGUGAUGGGAGACAGUGACAGAUCAUCAGGCACUAGAUUCUCAUAAGGAGCUCACAGCCUAGAUUCCUCACAUGCGCAGUUCCCAAAAGGAUUUGCACUCCUGUGAGGAGGCAUAGGUUCUGCAUGGUUUUCCAGAGUUCCUAUGAAGUUAUUUUUGAUGCCCACCAAAAUGGUAGCUGGCUUGAUUUUAAAAACCUUUUAUUGGCUUUUUUCUCUUCCCUGCCUCGCUUUCCCCGUGAUAUGGUUUGGCUCUGUGUCCCCAUUCAUAUCUCAUGUUGAAUUGUACUCCCAUAAUUCCCAUGUGUUAUGGGAGAGACCUGGUGGGAGGUAACUGAAUCACAGGGACAGUUUUCCCAUACUGUUCUCAUGGUAGGGAAUAAGAUCCUGUGAGGAUCUAAUGCUGCUGCUGAUCUGCCUGGAGCUCAGGCAGUAAUGAGAGGGAUGGGGAGCCUCUGUAAAUACAGAUGAAGCUUUACUUGCUCUCCCGCUGCCCACCUCCUGCUGUGUGGCAGUGUUCCUAACAGGCCAUGGACCAUUACCAGACUACGGUCAGGGCGUUGGGGACCCCUGAUCUAGGAAAGCCAAGAACAAAACAGUAAGUGCCAACUCAUCCGAUGCUCCAGAGUGAGGUCCAAGACUCUCAAUAUGACCAGCAAAGGAGGUGGCCAGAACUUGUUUCACGUCCCUUUAGCCUUUCCUCUAAUUUGAGGAUAUUAGAGGGUUCACAUUGAAGUGUGGAGAGGGGAGGAAAUUGGAAGGGAAAUUUUUUAGAUAGAGCUGAUGGAUGUUGUAUCCAUCUGUUGUAUGAUGGAGUUCUGUGACACAUUCUCUCCUGAUACUGGCAGUAGAAGUGGUCAGUGCCCCAUCAGAAUGUAUCAUAUCAACCCUAAAAGGCCAAUACCUUCUGUCAGUAUCGCCAUCUGUGUGUUUGGGGGCUUUCUCUGAAGAUGAGGAAGACCAGUCUGCCCGUUCCCAAGGUAGACCAGAAGUGCCAGGGAAUUCAUCCUCUAGGAGAAGCCAGCAGCCAAUGACUGAUGGGAGUUGGUAUAUAAAGCUCCCAGAUCCCUCACUGCUGAGUUGGAAGGAUGUUGAGGCAUAGGUUCUGCAUGGUUUUCCAGAGUUCCUAUGAAGUUAUUUUUGAUGCCCACCAAAAUGGUAGCUGGCUUGAUUUUAAAAACCUCUUAUUGGCUUUUUUCUCUUCCCUGCCUUGCUUUCCCCAUGAUAUGGUUUGGCUCUGUGUCCCCAUUCAUAUCUCAUGUUGAAUUGUACUCCCAUAAUUCCCAUGUGUUAUGGGAGAGACCUGGUGGGAGGUAACUGAAUCACAGGGACAGUUUUCCCAUACUGUUCUCAUGGUAGGGAGUAAGUCUCAUGAGAUCUGAUGGUUUUAUAAGGGGUUUUCAUUUUCGCUUCUGCCUCAUUUUCUCUUGCUGCCAACAUGUAAGAAGUGCCUUUCACCUUCCACCAUGAUUGUGAGGCCUCACCAGCCACAUGAAAUUAUGAGUCCAUUAAACCUGUUUUUCUUCCCUGUCUUGGGUAUGUCUCUAUCGGUAGCAUGAAAACAGACGAAUACAUCCCACUCCCCUUCCAUUACCUCCCAAAUAAGGUACUUACACUCAAAUCCUGAUCUCAGGGUCCCUGAUAUGGCUUGACUGUGUCCCCACCGAAAUCUCACCUUGAAUUGUAGUUCCCAUAAUCCCCACAUGUCAUGAGAGGGACCUGGUAGGAGGUAAUUGCAUCAUGGGGGUGGUUACCCUCAUACUGUCCUUGUGAUAGCAAGUGAGUUCCCACGAGAUCUGGUGGUUUUAUAAGGGGCUUCCCCCUUUGCUUGGCACUCUUACCUGCCGCCAUGUAAGACAUGCCUGCUUCACCUUCUGCCACGAUUGUAAGUUCCCUGAGGCCUUUCUAGCCAUAAGAAACUGUGAGUCAAUUAAACCUUUUUCCUUUAUAAAUUACCCUGUCUUGGGCAUUUCUUCAUAGCAGUGUAAGAAUGGAUGAAUACCAUCCCUUGCUGGUGGAACUUAAAGUAAGACAAAGCCCUGUUAUUCAGAUAAUACCUUUAUAACUAGCAUAUCUCUAAUCCUUUCCCAACCUUGCAAGAUGGGUGUCUUUUUUUCUCCACUGAGAAAGCAGAAGAUUAGGGUUAAUGUGGUUUAACAUGGCAGGACUGGGAUUCAACCUCAGAUUUAUAUGACUCCAAGAAAAUGCUCUUUUCCUCACACCAUUCUGCUCCCUAGCAGUUGUAAGCCAUUCCCUCCCACCUACAAAGUACAGUUCUUUAAAUGGCCACCCUUAGUCUCUGUUUAAUCUAGCACUUUCUUGAUGUUCAUAACCUUGGUUCUGAAUCAUUUGCUCAGUGCUAUUCCUCACUCUCCACUGCAACCUGCUUUUAAUACCCCCAACUUCUAGUUUCCGUUAGCCCUCCGGAUGCAACACUGGGUGCUUUCUUCCUGGCCCUUGACUUUGACUCAUCAUCCAGCUCCAUUGCCCUAGACUUGCCUUCAGAAAUAUUCUUCCUAGUUGGACUGUGUUCCAGGACUCCCGGUCUUGACAUUAUCCACUAUGGAUGAUGUGCUGGUUGGUUCAUAUCAUGGCUGUCCCUGUAAGUGUUCUUUCCUCUAUGCCCUAACAAUUCCUAUCCUGAGCUGGAGCAAAAUGAAUUUUUAUCCAUUGCUUAAAAUUUGAAAGCACAUCCAGGAAGUUGUACAUACUAGCCGAGCAAGCCUGAGUGCCUAUGAGGAGAACUUGGACACCACUGCUGGGAAUUGGCUAAGUGGGAAGAUUUUAAUUGUUCCCAGGCUUGUCGCAUCCACCUAAUUUUCUCUAACGAGCACACACAAAGCAACAAGGAGAGGUGCGGGAUUGGAUGGCAAUUCAACGCCUCAUAAUGCCAGAUGAAUUGCAACGCCUGCUCCACAGUAUUGCACUUGCCGAUGUCUGGGAGACAGUCUCCAUGGAUGCUAAUUCAAUUAUGCUGAAACAUAGAAGGAAAUUGGCAGCCAAAUUGCUGCCACGCUGCCGAGCUGUACCUCGCUUGUGUCCCCUGUGCUGUUUCCUGCUGAUUCAGCAGCACACGGUGGCUCUUCUAGUUUGAGAAUGACCAGGGGCUAUGUUCCACUUGGUAUGAUUCUUCAGGCAGACUUCCCAUCUUAGAACUCCAAAUAGAGAAACCAUUCCUUGUUAACCUUUUCCUUUCCUCCUUUCACUCCAGAAACACCUCUUGUUAUUUAGUCAUCAUCAAUAACAGAAGUAUAUAAGUUAAAGAGUACUGCAUUGUGCAUUGUACAUUGUACAAAGAGUACAUUGUUCAGCUAGUAACUGUUGACUGAGCAUCAGUUAAAGACAGAGGACACAGCAGGGAACAAAAACAGGCAUAAAUCUAUGCCUUUAGGAGCUUACCAUCCUGCCUCACUUUCCAAGGAGGGAAGACUACUGGUAAAAGUUUGAAAAAGAUUUUGAAGCAUCUUUCCCGAACAACCUUACAUAACUGGCAGGUUGUAUAGCACCUUUACUCUCUUGCUUAUUCUGAAGAAACAAGCUGCCUUGUUGUGAAUUACUCUAUGGAGGGAGAGACCCACAUGCUAAGGAACUGAGAGCAUGACCAUUGGGCAACAGCCCUGGACUGAAUCUUUCCAGCAACCUCUUGCAUGACCUUGGAAGAGGAUGAUUCCCCAUCCAAACCUUCAGCUGAGACUGCAGCCCUCCUGGUACCUUGAUUGUAACCUGGUGAGAGAUCCUGAGCCAGAAGACUCAGCUCAGAUGAGCCUAGAUUCCUGAGUUGUUUUAAGCUGUCAGGUUUUAGGGAAAUUUAUUAUGCAGUAAUAGACAACAAAUACAGUAUAUAAUGACAAACUUCAGAAAAAUGGAGGUAAAGUUCUUGGAGGGGGCACUUUUUUUCUAGUUCAAACAAAGAAGUAGUAUCAGUGUGGGUUAGCAGUAGUCACCCCCCUCUCAGCUUAGAUGUUGGGGAAGGGGGUUGUGGUUGGCUUCCCUAGGUCCUCUCUUUUCUCUGAUUGCUAGCCAAAGACCCAAGGGAGCAGAGGGAGGAGAGGCAAGGGCAGAUUAGGGCUCUCUUGACCAGUACUGUCACAAUUUGGCAUUGGUGCUCUCUGCCUGGCAGGUAUUUAAAGUUCCUCCAGCUUUGGCAUGUGAUCAAAGCUGAGUCAAUUUGAGGUGUAUUGUGGAUUCUUUGAGAUCCCCAUUAGGGGUGUCCACACUGCACAGUCCCCCAACUGUUCACCUGAGACCUGUGUUCAGGUGGGGAUUCUUCAGUUCCCCUCUUGUGGUGCCUUUUUCCCAAAUUCCAUAGCAGGUGGUAGCAUCUCUUGCUGCUCCUAUUGGGUGGGACGCUUCUAAGACGCCUCCAUUCCAGUUUCUCCACAUCUGCUUGAUUCAUGGGAAGCUCAUGCAUCCUUGGCACCUGGAGGGACUUAGCAUCUGCUUCUAGUGCUAUCCUCAGUCCUCUUCCUGAGAUCUCGAUAGGCUCCAGCCAAGGUCUGACUAACAUAUACAUUUUUCAGGUCUCAGUCAGAUGCCAUUCUCCCCAGACUCCAGGGAAUUCACAGCAAACUAGAGAUAUUUCCUGGAAGUUCCUCUCACCAGGCAAGGCUGUGGGAUUGAGACUAACUUCGUACUGGACUCCUUUCUCCAGAAAAAUCCUCUCCCCAGCUUCCAAUUCAACCUUUUCAGAGAUGGCCAUUGGCCCAAGAGUCAGAAAACGAUUUCCUUUUAGACCUUUUCAAAGCCAAUACCUUGCUUGGAAAUGUCAGGUAUUUGAACAUUUCAUUUUGUCUUUGGCCCGUGGAGCCUCAGCUGAAACCAAGACCCAAAGAUUCCAUUUUAGCAUCCUGUGAUAUGCAUGCAGUUGCUGUUCAAUCCAUGGUGUUUUGUUGCUUUUACACUGUUGUGGGAGAUUUACUGCACUGAUGGACCUAAGAUGCUGUGUCUGCAUCCACACUCUUUGCCAGGACUUUUUAGCCCCUCUCAUCAAGGGUUGAAGUCUAUUUCCCAGUUCUUGGAUUAGGCUAGUCUUGUGAUUGCUUUGACCAAUAGAAUGUGGCAGAAGGAACAUUAUACCUUUUCUGAGCCUGGGAACAAGACUCUGUAUGAUUUUGGCCUGUCUCUUGGAGUUCUCCUGCUGUUCUGUGAAUAACCCGUGGGUAGAAUGAAAGACCAUGUGAAUAAGAGCAAAGUCAGUUCCGUUGUCCCAGAUAUGCAAGAAAGCCCAACUAAGAUCAGCAGAGCCACCUAGCCUGACCACAGAGACACGUGCAAACCCCACCAAGCUCGGCUCAGAUGGCUCAGAUGCUUGGAACUGCCCAUGUGACCCACUGACUUGUGAGUGAAAAUAAUCAAUUGUUACCAUGUGCCACUGAGGUUUUGUGGUUGUUUGUUAUGCAGCUUUAUAAUAACUGAUACAUUGUACUGGGUAGCUAAUGAGAGAGUGUUUCUGAGCAGAGGACCCUCUCAAAUACCAGGUGACAAAACUGGCUGCUGGAAGACUGCUUUCCUUUUCCUUAGGCACCCUCAGUUUUGGCCUGGAUAGAUUCCUCCUGGGCUUGUCAAAACUUCCCAGAAUGCAGAACAGAAAACAGGGAUUCCUCUGGCAGCUUGUUAGGGUAAUUAAAAUGUGGGUGGAAGCUCAUUAAGCUCCCCUUUGUCAACAUUCUUCCUUCCAGGCCUGGAGAAGCUGUGAGUUCUGUCACAUCCCAUUAGCACUGUGUCUGGGUGGUUUCCGCACCUUUCCAGGCAAAUCAAACACACAGAGUCUACAUUCAAGGGAGAAAUAAAUUUAUUCCCAUGGAGAGGGGUGUGUUUACGGAAAUGUAAGGACACUGGGGUGGAUGAUAAGAAAGAGAAUGGGAAGAUCUAAGAAUGCUUUGGAAGUAUAAUACAUACAGCAAGCAUUUGAAGUCUGUUCUGAACAUCCUCAAGUUCCCUUCUAUUCCUGUCUCAGCGGGCCCCCUACAAAACGUGAUCUUUAUGGAAAAGAUUUUGGAGUCAAAAAGACUUUUGUUCCAGUCCCAACUGGGUCAUAAAAAUAAGACCAAUAAUAAUGUUAACUUGUAUUGAGCAUGUUUUGUUUGCCAGGCUCUGUGCUGUGAGUUUUAUAUAGAAAAAUUCUCAUUUAAUCCGAGACAAGAAGCUUCCUAAGAUCAGGAGUGGAUGCUUGUUUUUUAAUUUUUAAUUUUUGAGACAAGGUUUUGUUCUGUUGCCCAGGCUGGAUUGUAGUAGUGUGAUCAUGGCUCACUGCAGCCUUGACUCCCAGGCUCAAGCCAUCCUCCUGCCUCAGCCUCUUGAGUAGCUGAGACUAGAGGUGUGUGCCACCGCACCGGCUAACUGUUUACAUUUUAUGAGAUAGAUAGGGUUUCACUAUGUUGCCCAGACUGGUCUCAAACUCCUGGGCUCAAAUGAUCCUCCUACUCUGGCCUCCCAAAGUGCUGGGAUUACAGGGAUGAGCCACCAUGUCCAGCCAUAAUGCCCAUUUUGGUUUCCAGUAUAGAUCCAGUACACAGCACAAUUUUUUGCAUUAGAUGUUCAAUAACUGUUUAGUGAACAAACGAAUGAAUGACAAUCCCAUGAGGUGGAGGUAACUACACUUCAAGCUGAAGAAACAGAAGUUCUAUAACUGACCAACGUUUCCACAGCUAGUGAGUGGCAGGAGGGGCUUUAAGCCAGAAAUGUUGUUUUCAAGUGCCAUUAUUUCAUUUUGUCCUUGGAGUGUCUCUGGGAUUCCUGGAAAAUGGGAAUAUUAACAACACCUGUCUCAUGGGGCUGUUGCGACAAUCACAUACGUCAGGGAAGUAAAUAUGUAAGAGAUUACCUACCUGGCACACAAUAACAGCACACAUGCUAGCUUUGUUUAUCUUAUGUUUG